AUUGAACGCUGGCGGCAUGCUUUACACAUGCAAGUCGAACGGCGGCGUCGGCUUCGGCCUGGCGCGGAUUGGCGAACGGGUGGAUACUGCCUCUGAGCUUGCCAUGUCGGUGAGAAUUGCCCGGCGAUAGCCGAUUUAGUCCCGCAUCCAACCAUUUGGUGACAGAGGGUGACCGCACGUAGUCUCGCUAUUUUAGUGGCCGAUAUCGGAUUCGCUAGGUGGUGGGGUAAAGGCUUACCAAGGCGACGAUGCGUAGCUGGUCUGAGGGGACGGCCAGCCACACUGGGACUGAGACACGGCCGACACUCCUACGAUAGGCAGCAGUGGGGAAUUCUGGACAAGGGGGGAGACCCUGAUCCAGCAAUGCCGGGGGCGGGAAGAAGGACUUCGGGUUGUAAACUGCUUUUGUUCGGGAAGAAAUCCUCUGGGCUAAUACCCCGGGAGGAUGACGGUACCGGAAGAAUAAGCACCGGCUAACUACGUG
rnacentral:rRNA from 1 species